CGGAGAAGGGACAUGCCGCUGCUUCCGGGAACCACUUGAGCGAGCACAAAGAAACCACAGAGAAGAUUAAUGGGACCUUCCAAGCCACACCAGAUCCAUGGAAAUGAGCUUUGAAUAGACCCAAACAAUGAAUCCUUCUGUGGACAUUUUGUAAGAAAAUUGAAAACAUGCUAAUAAAAGGGCUAUCGUGUUCCAUUCUCUAGGAAAA